rnacentral:lncRNA from 1 species
CCACUCGAAAUUUGUGCGUGCUCUAGAACUAGGACACAUGCAAAUGGAAAAGAUAUCCACCCUUUAUGUCAAAAGAGUCACUAAGCAGAAGAUUAUACCUGAGCAAUAUAAGGGUAGGCCUCAUCAACAAUGGCAAAAUCCGAAUUUCCUACUAAGGCAAUCCCCUCUAGCACCCCAAUAGCCCUAAUUAUCAGGGCAAAGUAUGGGGGUAUCCUAAAUGGAUAAUCAAAGGUAAUCUGAGCCAAAUCUGAUGCAAGCUCUUGAAAAUUGAUGUUCUUUGCUCCUCCACCUUCUAAGGCCUGAUCGAAGACCUUGGCUAAAACUGGCAAGAUUGGCUCUAAAUUGAUGCCAUCAGGAAUGAAACCGAGUUUAACAAAGUCUUUAACUAUAGCUGGGUAAUCCCGAUGGAUGAGAUGAGAAAUUGCUUCAAUCAUUCCAUACUUUUGAUCAUCAGUCAAUUUUGUAACAAGCCCUAGGUGCAAGAAAAUAAUUUGAUCAUUUACCACAAUGAUUCACAUAUUGAAACAUCUACUUGCAUAUAUAAAGAGUAGCAUGAAGGAUUAAGGCAAUAUAAUGAACCAUGGAACAAGAGAUACACAUGUUUAAAAAUUAUUCCAAUUACAUCAUAGCUAUAAUAUUCAGGUGAGAAACCAAAAAAAGCUAUGAUUAAGAAAAGAAAGCUUCAUUACCACAUUAGUGGCUCCACUUACCUCCCCACCCAAACAUACCCUUAACAAGAACAUCGACCACCCCCCUUUCUCCAAAAAAAAAUAAUAUUAAUAUGUAUGAUACGGAAAAAUACUAUUCUCACUAUUCCAUCUUUAAAUUCUCAAAAUGAUAUUUUUCCAUCUUGAAUUAGUUACGUAAAUCAAAUGAUAACAUAGUGUCCUAUAACAUGGAGGUCUGAGGAGAAUUGGUUCUGCAACAGUAAUAUGAGAAAUAUAACUCCAUAAUGAGCUUAUCAAAGAGAAUUAAGCAUAAAUAUGUUUAGUUUAUAAAUAAUUCAUGACAAGACACAAUGGCAUUGUCUGAUCCAUGUAGCCAAUCUCUCCUAGUGUGGAACAAGGCCUUGUUGCGGUGGUGGUUCUUAAAAGCCAAAUUAGUUCACAUUUUCAACAUAUAUUUCAUAAAGUAAAAGCCACACCUAUGUCUAUAAUAUUGGCAUCGUCUGAGAAAAAUAAUCUACAACUAUACAAUAUUCAGAUACCCAAAAAAAAAUAUUCUUACCAAAGUCAAGUAUAGCGAGCUUUCCAUCUGGAGUGCAUCAGACAGCAAAAAGGCCAAAGCUGCCCUUGUUUGCAGUGGCUGCUGUGAUUGAGGAAUUGCAGACUGGAAACCGGGCAAUAGAACCUGUGAUUGACUAGUAAGCACCCCAAGUUCAGCCAUUUCCCCAUUCAGACUCUCUCCACCUCCACUUUUGGCAGCAGUAAUAAAAUUCUCAAAGGCUUGCAUGACAUCAAUAAAUCUUUCAGCAUCAAAAACUCCAGAUUUACCAUAUAUAGUGUAACGUAAAGCAUUCCUUAGCCGAGGGGAUUCAUCCGUAAGGAGCCUCUAUCAAUGAAACGAUGGACAUCAGUAUAGAUUAAUCAGAAGAAUCUAAUGUAGCAAUAGGACAAGCUAAGUCACCAGUAACAGAAAAUCCUAUUGGUUUAGCAUUCAAAGCUAUUAACCAAACUGUCAAAUUCCAAUUUUGUUUCAGUAAAUAACUUCCAUCCAUGAUGGUUGUAACGAAAUCAAAUUCGAUGAAUUCCAUAAUAUUAACAUGAUCAUUCCUUCAAUGUGCUCCACUCGAAAUUUGUGCGUGCUCUAGAACUAGGACACAUGCAAAUGGAAAAGAUAUCCACCCUUUAUGUCAAAAGAGUCACUAAGCAGAAGAUUAUACCUGAGCAAUAUAAGGGUAGGCCUCAUCAACAAUGGCAAAAUCCGAAUUUCCUACUAAGGCAAUCCCCUCUAGCACCCCAAUAGCCCUAAUUAUCAGGGCAAAGUAUGGGGGUAUCCUAAAUGGAUAAUCAAAGGUAAUCUGAGCCAAAUCUGAUGCAAGCUCUUGAAAAUUGAUGUUCUUUGCUCCUCCACCUUCUAAGGCCUGAUCGAAGACCUUGGCUAAAACUGGCAAGAUUGGCUCUAAAUUGAUGCCAUCAGG